rnacentral:rRNA from 1 species
UGUAGUCAUAUGCUUGUCUCAAAGAUUAAGCCAUGCAUGUCUAAGUAUAAGCAAUUAUACAGCGAAACUGCGAAUGGCUCAUUAAAUCAGUUAUCGUUUAUUUGAUAGUACCUUACUACAUGGAUAACCGUGGUAAUUCUAGAGCUAAUACAUGCUAAAAACCCCAACUUCGGAAGGGGUGUAUUUAUUAGAUUAAAAACCAAUGCCCUUCGGGGCUCCCUGGUGAUUCAUAAUAACUUCUCGAAUCGCACGGCCUUGCGCCGGCGAUGGUUCAUUCAAAUUUCUGCCCUAUCAACUUUCGACGGCAGGGUCUUGGCCUGCCAUGGUGACAACGGGUAACGGAGGGUUAGGGCUCGACCCCGGAGAAGGAGCCUGAGAAACGGCUACUACAUCCAAGGAAGGCAGCAGGCGCGCAAAUUACCCAAUCCCGACUCGGGGAGGUAGUGACAAUAAAUACUGAUACAGGGCUCUUUUCGGUCUUGUAAUUGGAAUGAGUACAAUUUAAAUCCCUUAACGAGGAACAAUUGGAGGGCAAGUCUGGUAAUCG